rnacentral:tRNA from 1 species
AAUAAAGUGCCUGAAAAAGGAUAACUAUGAUAUAGUUAAACAUGCAAUUAAAAGCCUUUAUUA